rnacentral:rRNA from 1 species
AGGGCACCACCAGGAGUGGAGCCUGCGGCUUAAUUUGACUCAACACGGGAAAACUCACCCGGCCCGGACACUGGAAGGAUUGACAGAUUGAGAGCUCUUUCUUGAUUCAGUGGGUGGUGGUGCAUGGCCGUUCUUAGUUGGUGGAGUGAUUUGUCUGGUUAAUUCCGAUAACGAACGAGACUCUAGCCUACUAAAUAGAUCGUCGGCUUACAAACGCCGGCGAGACUUCUUAGAGGGACAGGCGGUGAUUCAACCGCACGAAACAGAGCAAUAACAGGUCUGUGAUGCCCUUAGAUGUCCGGGGCCGCACGCGCGCUACACUGAAGUGAUCAGCGUGCAUUUGUUCUCGCUCCGUGAGGAGCGAGUAACCCAAGGAACCUUCUUCGUGAUAGGGAUUGGGCAUUGUAAUUAUUGCCCAUGAACGAGGAAUUCCCAGUAAGCGCGAGUCAUUAGCUUGCGUUGAUUACGUCCCUGCCCUUUGUACACACCGCCCGUCGCUACUACCGAUUGAAUGAUAGA